rnacentral:rRNA from 1 species
AGAGUUUGAUCCUGGCUCAGGACGAACGCUGGCGGCGCGCUUAACACAUGCAAGUCGAGCGAGAACCAGGGCUUCGGCCCUGGGGACAGCGGCGAACGGGUGAGUAACACGUGGGUAAUCAACCCUUGACACCGGGAUAGCCCGGGGAAACUCGGGCUAAUACCGGAUGUGGUGCCUUGGCGUAAGCCUUUGCACUAAAGGAAGCUUCGGCCUCCGCAUUGGGAGGAGCUCGCGGCCCAUUAGCUAGUUGGUGGGGUAACGGCCUACCAAGGCGACGAUCCGUAGCUGGUCUGAGAGGACGACCAGCCACACUGGGACUGAGACACGGCCCAGACUCCUACGGGAGGCAGCAGUGGGGAAUUUUGGACAAUGGGGGCAACCCUGAUCCAGCAAUGCCGCGUGUGUGAAGAAGGCCUUCGGGUUGUAAAGCACUUUUGUCCGGAAAGAAAACUUCUGGGUUAAUACCCUGGGAGGCUGACGGUACCGGAAGAAUAAGCACCGGCUAACUACGUGCCAGCAGCCGCGGUAAUCAAUCGCC